AUUAAAAUUACCCAGGUAGUAACAUCUUUAACAAAAAAACCAAAAUAAAAUGGCGGCAUUUACUCUCCUCAGAGGAACAUGUUUCUUAAUCGACAAUACGCGAUACUUUUCACUUAAAUUAUAAAUUUUAUAUACCGCCAUCCAAAGAAUUUAUUUUAAAAUAUAUUCAAAAUAAAAAUCUCGUAGGGCAGGUAAAGGUGUAAACUAAACUUAAGAUAAAAAUGUGUUACAUUAAAAAUAAUUUAAAGAAAAUUAAUAUAAAUUAACCCAAAAGAGGAUUUGAAAGUAAAUAGCAAAUAAUACUUACAUUUGAACUAGAACAAAAAUGUGC
rnacentral:rRNA from 1 species